rnacentral:rRNA from 1 species
GACAGAGGGUGCAAUCGUUGCUCGGAAUUACUGGGCGUAAAGCGCGUGUAGGUGGAUUGGUGUGUCAGAUGUGAAAUCCCUGGGCUCAACCCAGGAACUGCACCUGAAACUACCAGUCUUGAGUGGUGGAGAGGGAAGUGGAAUUCCUGGUGUAGAGGUGAAAUUCGUAGAUAUCAGGAGGAACACCAGUGGCGAAGGCGGCUUCCUGGACACCAACUGACGCUGAGACGCGAAAGCGUGGGGAGCAAACAGG